CCGAAGAAAAACUCUCGCCAUCUUCCUUCUCGGCCAAGCAAGAACACGCCUUGAUCGCGGCAACUAGAGUCCAGGCAUCCGGCUCACAGUCCAUGCACGACGAGAAGAUCUCCAAGCCCAGCUCUGGAUCACCAUUCUCGACGUAGCCCAUCAAGAGGACGUUCCAAGAGACCACCGUGCGAGCUCCCAUGGCGUCGAAAACACUCCUGGCAUCCACCAUGCUCCAGCACUUCGCGUACAUAUCCACCAGUGUGUUCUCCACGUAGAUACCAGCCAAGAAUCCUCUUCUCAGUGCCUCGGCGUGGAGAGCCUUCCCCUUUCUAAGAUCCCUGGCGCUACUGCAAGCCCGGAGCUCGCAAAUAAAUCUCGACCUGGAUCUAUUGCCACUGGAAAUCCUCGCAAUCGAUGCUUCUUCUUCACUGUUGCUCCAAAUCUUUGCGAUUUCUUUAUUCACAGAUGCUUCUUCUUCCCGAUUCUUCAAUGGAGCCGCGAUCGCGAUCGAUUCUUGGCUAGUUCCCGAUCCUUUUGCCGCGAUGGAGGAGCUGAGCGAUCGAAAUCCAGCGCUGGAGUGUCGCUUGGACCUACAUUUGCUCCAGGGAACCAUAAACCCUGGAGAAUCCUUCUUGAUUCCUGGAUCCUUUCCUUCACUGCUUACCGAUCUUUCUGCCUCGAUCUAUGCGCGACAGCGGCCCAAGAGUGAGGAAAUAUUUUAGGGUUUAUGCGAAGAGAUGGCCGCAUUGUCUAGCCCAGCGGCUUUUCGCGGGAGGCGGCUGGAAUCCUCGUCCACAGCGCAGGCGCACAGCUCCAAGAAGGAUCAGGUACGCGUUCCUCGCAAGCGCGGCUGCUCGAAUGGAAUCGCCGCAAAGAAAGACGCCAGCGAGAGAUUUCCAUCGCGAUCGGGCAAGCGCCCCAAGUGGGAGCUGUUUGGAGGCGCUGCAGCUGUUCUUGGCGGUAGCAGCAUUGCGGCUUUCGGAUUAUCCAAGCUGGGAUUCGGCUCUGGUUCCUCGGAUUUUGGAAAUCCCGAGAUAGGAAGUGGAGGAAGUGGAGGAGCAAGGAAUAGCGGUCGUGGCGGUGGUCGUGGCGGUGGCGGCGGUGGCAGUAGAGGGAACGAAGCCACUCUUCACAGGCCUGUGCUUGGCGAAAACAAAGAAGAAGAUAGCAAAGAAGAACGAGGAAAGGGUCUCGUGGAAGAGGUUGCGUCUUCGGUAAUCGAGCAAUUGUCUCGCAGCGACAAUCUUGCGAAAGCUUCCGAGACUGGAGCACUCAAGAGACUCCAAAAGGAAGCAUUCACGGAUAUUAUGAAGCUGCGUGAAAAGUUUGAGAAGCUCGAGCUCGGCCUGUCUACGAAGGAUUUUUCGAGUGGUCUUGAAAGAACAACGAUCAAAGGCAGGGUGGCUGCAGGAGGAGCUUUCGUGCUCAUGCAGGAUUCAAGUAGCUACAACUCACGCUCGGCAUUGGAGCAGUCUGGGCUCCCAGCCGGGCUCGAGGCAGAGUUUACUUUCCAGACGGCUUUUCGGGACGACAAUGAUCUACUGACGACGAAAUGUGUGUCCGGGGAUGGUGGCUUCGGUACUAGUGGCCUUGGAGGACCAAUUCGACUUGCGAAGAUUUCUUACGCAACAAAAGUUACGGACGAGACGAAGUUUUCUUUGGUUCCUCUGGGUGCUCAAGCUACGGACAUGACAGAAGUUGUGAAUCCUCUCCAGGGCGAGGCACUGACAAAGUUUACGAGCUCUGGUCCUUCUCUCUUCAGCCACUGCAAAGGCUCCGCAAUCGGUGCAACUUACAGGAGCUCAAACACGCUCGCCUCUCUGUCAGAGUACAUCUCCGGCUGGGGCGAUUCGAACGGACUUCUCUGCCUGAGUACGCUCGCGCAGUUUAUCCAUCAGCCGACCGAGCAGCUAGCGCUCUCUCUCUCCGCGCUCAACCGCUUCUGGCCGAGUCCACCACUGCCGUCGGCAACUGGUUUACACUGGAGCGAGAUGAAGCCUUUCGUCCUCUCAAAGUCCCUGCGCUCAUCGGGUGUAGAUACAAUGAGAACGUCAGGCUCAAGCUCCGUUUCUCAAGCGCUCAGCAACGGAGAUAGGUGGAGUUUAGAGGCUCCGGCAUACGAACCGAAAGGCACUGCGAUGCAAGCGUUUGCCAUGUCGGGAGAGAUGGACCUUGGCGGAGGUGCUUGUCUCGGAGGCUGGCUACAGAUGGAAAGAGGCGACUGGUUACAGGAUGACGAUCAGAAAAAGCUGGUGUGGUCUCUAAGUCUGGCACAGGAGGCGUCAGUGGACAGUGUGGGCUGGGGAGUCAGUCUCGGACGAUCGAGACGAGAUUUCUGGAGCUCCCUCAAGGACGAGGAGUCGGAUGUCAUAGGAAGGCAGGCCGAGGUGUCGUCUACGCAGUUCCAAGUGGAAGCGUUUCUGAAGUAUGACUUUGGACAACGAUUUACGCUCCAGCCCGGGUUGUUGUAUGUCCUCAACAAACAAUGCCAGACACCGGCUUUGAUGGUCAAGGGUGAGUGGAAGCUGUGACGAAGAACAAGGUUAUUUUCUUUAUUUCUUUCUUUCUUUCUUUCGUUUUUUUCCUUUUGAACGUCCCGAUCAACGCCACCGUCGGAAAGACGAACAAGAGUUUACUUUUGCAAGCUCCACGAGUAAGUAAACAAGAGAUCUCUUCCUAUAGCUUGUGCGUACUGAACUCUAGCGCCGCCUGAGGAGAAGUUUUUGAGACAUGAAUCGCAAGAUUCAGUCUUGGAAUGACGCUGUGUGGCCAAGCUCAGGCGCGUUUUUUGCUUCAAAUUUUUGGAAAGACUCUCUUUUAUAGAAUAAAAAGAGCCAACUUUUGGAGA